AACGAACGCUGGCGGCAUGCCUAACACAUGCAAGUCGAACGAGACCUUCGGGUCUAGUGGCGCACGGGUGCGUACCGCGUGGGAACCUGCCCUUAGGUUCGGAAUAACUCCCCGAAAGGGGUGCUAAUACCGGAUAAUGUCUUCGGACCAAAGAUUUAUCGCCUUUGGUUGGGCCCGCGUUGGAUUAGCUAGUUGGUAGGGUAAAAGCCUACCAAGGCGACGAUCCAUAGCUGGUCUGAGAGGAUGAUCAGCCAAACUGGGACUGGGACACGGCCCAGACGCGAGGGGGGGGUAGGGGGGGGGAAAAAGGGAAAGGGGGCGAAAGGCGGAAACGCCAAGGGCGGGGGGGGGAUGAAGGGUUUGGGGUUGGAAAUCGCUUUUACCGGGGAGGAAAUGACGGGAACGGGUAAAAAAGCCCCGGCUAAAUUCGGG
rnacentral:rRNA from 1 species